rnacentral:rRNA from 1 species
UACGUAGGGUGCGAGCGUUACUCGGAAUUACUGGGCGUAAAGCGUGCGCAGGCGGUUGUGCAAGACAGAUGUGAAAUCCCCGGGCUUAACCUGGGAAUGGCAUUUGUGACUGCACGGCUAGAGUGUGUCAGAGGGGGGUAGAAUCCCACGUGUAGCAGUGAAAUGCGUAGAUAUGUGGAGGAAUACCGAUGGCGAAGGCAGCCCCCUGGGAUAACACUGACGCUCAUGCACGAAAGCGUGGGGAGCAAACAGG